rnacentral:rRNA from 1 species
GAUGAACGCUGGCGGCGUGCCUAAUACAUGCAAGUCGAGCGAACGGACGAGAAGCUUGCUUCUCUGAUGUUAGCGGCGGACGGGUGAGUAACACGUGGAUAACCUACCUAUAAGACUGGGAUAACUUCGGGAAACCGGAGCUAAUACCGGAUAAUAUUUUGAACCGCAUGGUUCAAAAGUGAAAGACGGUCUUGCUGUCACUUAUAGAUGGAUCCGCGCUGCAUUAGCUAGUUGGUAAGGUAACGGCUUACCAAGGCAACGAUGCAUAGCCGACCUGAGAGGGUGAUCGGCCACAGUGGAACUGCGACACGGUACAGACUCCUACGAGAGGCAGCAGUAGGGAAUCUUCCGCAAUGGGCGGAAGCCUGACGGAGCAACGCCGCGUGAGUGAUGAAGGUCUUCGGAUCGUAAAACUCUGUUAUUAGGGAAGAACAUAUGUGUAAGUAACUGUGCACAUCUUGACGGUACCUAAUCAGAAAGCCACGGCUAACUACGUG